UACUCCUUAGUUCAACGGUAGAACAUCACUCUUCUAAAGUGAUCAUCCAGGUUCGAAUCCUGGAGGAGUAG